rnacentral:rRNA from 1 species
CCGUACGAGAGUUUUUAACUCAAGUGGCGGACGGGUGAGUAACACGUAAGAAUUUGCCUUUAGGAGGGGGACAACAACUGGAAACGGUUGCUAAUACCCCAUAUGCUUUCGAGUGAAAUGGUUUUUCCGCCUAAAGAGAAGCUUGCGGCUGAUUAGCUUGUUGGUAAGGUAAUGGCUUACCAAGGCGACGAUCAGUAUCUGGUUUGAGAGGACGAUCAGACACACUGGAACUGAGACACGGUCCAG